CAAAUUUGGGUAUAGGGGCGAAAGAUUAAUCGAACCAUCUAGUAGCCGGUUCCUUCAGAAGUUUCCCUCAGGAUAGCAGAACCUCAUAUCAGAUUUAUGUGGUAAAGCGAAUGAUUAGAGGCAGUGGGGUUGAACCAACCUUAACCUAUUCUCUUCCUUUAAAUAAGUAAGACCGAGCGGUCACUUUGUUGGACUGCUUGAUGAUUGAGAGUUUCUAGUGGGCCAUUUUUGGUAAGCAGAUCUGGCGAUGCGGGAUGAUCCGAACGUGAGGUUCAGGCGCCGGAAUGCACACUCAUCAGACACCACAAAAGGUGUUAGUUCAUCUAGACAGCAGGGCGGUGGCCAUGGAAGUCGGAAUCCUCUAAGGAGUGUGUAACAACUCACCUGCCGAAUGAACUAGCCCUGAAAAUGGAUGGCGCUUCAAGUGUGCUACCCAUACCUCGCCAACCGUGUUGAAGUGAUGUGCGGACGAGUAGGCAGGCACGGAGGUUUGUGAAGAAGCUC
rnacentral:rRNA from 1 species